CCGCCGCCGUACCGCCGUCGCCGGAAUCCCAAUCCUCACCAAAAUUUCCAGAUUUUCUUCUCUUCAUCCCCUCUUUCCAUUUCUCCAACCAAAAUCAAGAAAUUUGGCCAUCCAACCCUCCAAAAACCUUAGAACCCGAAGCUAAAUUGGGGCUUUUUGUGAUUUCUUCUUUCCAAGUUCAAAUCAAGAGGCUAGGCUAUGGGUUUGGCAAGGAUUUGUGGUGAAGAAGGCCAAUGAGGAGGAUUAGGCCAUGAGUUUUGAAGAAGAAAGGGUAAGGAAUGGGUUUUGGACAAACCCUAGAAUUUUUGGAAUUUAUUUGGUUGAUUUUGAUUUUGUUGAGAUAUUGUUGUUGUUGGAAAAAUUGUGAAAAUUAGAUAUUUGAAGAGAGUUUAAUUAGUAGGAUUUUAUUGGUCUAAUUUUCAAAGGAUUGGAAAUUGGUGUUGAAAAUUUUGGUGAUUAUUGUUGUGUAGUUUUGGCCAAAAGAAAAAGAAAAGGAAGAAGAAAAGAAAUGUGUUUGUUUAUGGAAGAAAAAGAAAAUGAAGAAAAUGGUAAAAGUUUGAUUAAAUGAGUUUUACCUUGGUAAAUUGGUAAAAAAGUGAAGAAGGUGAAAGUAAAGGUAAAUUCGGUAAAAAGGAGGUAAAAGGUAAAAGUGUAAGUGUGGAGGUGAAAUUCAUGGUAAAAGUGAAAAGGUGAAAAAGGAGAAGUAAAUUGGUAAAAGUGAAAGUAAAACUUUAUUUAUAAUUAUUUACUUAUUUAUUUUUAAUAAAUAAGAGAUAAUGGUAAAUAAAGGAAUUAUUUGGUCAAAAGUCAAAAGUCAACUCCGAGAGUUGACCAAGGUUGACCGACCUCGUAAAACGUGAGGAUCGACUCGACUUUGGUCGCUCGGAUUGGCGAAAGUUUAGCGGAGUGAUAAGGACGUUUUCCUUUUUUAGAAAGAAGUUAGUUUCCCAAAUUGUUAAAGGUUGAAAGAAAUAAUUAAUGGCCUCAUUGAAAUAAAAAGGAUUUAGUGUGCGCGAUUACUUAAAGUUGAUCAUGAUGUUUACCUAGAUA